rnacentral:lncRNA from 1 species
CAAAAAUAAUAAAAUAAAAAAAAGGAAAGAUCUAGAAACUUUUCUUAAGGAAAGAGAAAAUUAAAAAGGAAAGAGAGAUAAUCUCUUCAUCUUCUUCGGUGAUUCACCUAACAAUGCUUUACCAUCGAUGACUUGAAGAGCUCCAACAAUAGUAUAGAAGCCAAGAUCACCCUUCAACGAAGAUGGAACUAGACAUGUGACCCAUCGGGUUUGGGUGUAUUUCGCAUAAGACAUUAAUAAAUCUCACCAAUGCUAUGAAAUGCAUUCUAACAAAGAAUUCUUUACCCGAUAUUAGCAUGUCUAGCCAAAGUCAUGAAGAUAAGACCCUUAUCUUCUAUUCUUAAGCCUAUAAAGAUCAUAAAAUUGAUGAAUUUAACUUCUAUUUCCUUUUGUUAGCAGGUUGAGCCCAUAAAGGACUAAUACCACUACUAAAUAAAGGAGAAAUAAAAGGUCUAUUCUCAACUCUCUCUAUAAUCUAACUUUUUCUUUUGUGUAGCUGAAACUUCAAAAUUUUUACACCUGUUAUAGUAUUUACUGAAAAAUUGUCACUUUAUAAUCCUUGUGGUAUUGGUACAAAACAAUUUUACACGGUAUUUUGCACCUCAAAAUUAUUUUUGACACUGUGAUUCUGAGAUUGGGAAUUUUAUUUUUUCAUUUUAAUAAUGACUUUGCCUUCAACUGAUAAUUUUUGCUGUGAAUUAUAAAUUAUACUUUGUGAACCAGUAAAAAAGAAAACUUGGUUAGCAAAAAAGUUUGCAAGCAUGUUUCCUUCCCUGAGGGUAUGUUCUACUUCCACAUUAACUAUAUCUCUUGUGAUAUUAACCCUAUUUACCUCUAUGGCAAUGUUUCAAGGAACUCAUCAAAUCCAUCUAAAACCUUCUUUAAAGAAUCACCCUCUAGAGUUAAAGAAAGUAGGUCAUGGAGAUAUAGUACUCCAGACCACUCUUAACGCAAUUGAUUCAGCAUCUAAACUUGUUCCAUCACCCAAACUAUUAGUUUUUGCAUAGACAAAGUCUCCUUCUCCAUUCCUUAUGCAGAAAGAAUAGGCCUCAAACUACGAUUUUAUUUUGCUGCUCUAUCAGAGUUUUAUUUAAAUCCUUCCUUCAUAGGCAGUUUCGACACCACUACCUUAUAAUCAAUAAAAGGGGUAUAUCUUCAAAUAACCUCCUAAUUAUGGACUAAUUAUUGGGUGUAUGCUUCAACUAAGGGUACCAAGUGAUAGAAAGCCUAUGAAAUUCUUUUUAACCUAUAUUAGCAUACUAUACAACAACAACAACAAAAUCAACAGAUCCAAUAUAUUUCCACAAUAAAUAAAUAUAUUAUCCCUUAUAUUUAAUUAUGUUUCUCCUCUCCCAUAUCUGUCAGAGAAAAAAAACAGAUAGUGUAAAGAGGUAAAAACUUACCUAUGCAGUCAACUUUCCACCAUUUAAAAAUAUAACAUUUAAGUUUUAUAAGUGGACAUGUAAACCAACAGCUGCAACAAUGACUUCCCAUAUUAUAAUAGAUGCAUGACAAGUUAUAAAAGAUGUUCAAAAGAUUCAUGAGCAUAUGUAUCACUACAACAACACAAAACUUCAUUAGUAAAACCUAUCUUCACUAGAUUUCCCUAAUACAGAUCCUUUCUUUCCAUAACCUCUAUAAAAAGUAAGAAACCUUGAAAGAAAGUACUCUUUCCUAUACAUAUUUGAGUUCUUUAUGAUAAGUUCAUGUAUCUCUCACCAACUUCCAUGCAGUGCUGAUGGUAAAAUUUCCUAAGCUAUGAAGUAUACACCAUGGUUUAUUCCAUUCCUCUAUGACCUAAAAUUGUACAAAUGUUUUGGCAAUAUGAUUGCAUACAUCCACUAGCAGAGCUUGUUGCAUUAGAUUGUCAUUCCAUCUUCCCUGUAUCAAAAGUAGACUUACAUCUUCUAAAGCAAAAUUACUAUUAAAUAAAAUAUGUAAAUAAUAAUAUAGAGCUUCAAGUACAGUCCAGUUGUCAAGACAAAGAGUAGAAUAGCCAUAUUUUGGUUUCACCAAAUUUCUUGAUUAAUGUAAUCCUUAACCAGGAGCAUAUGUUUCUAGGUUUGUGAACUCCCUCCGUGUUCUACCAUAUAAAGUUUGUUCACAAUGUUUUCUUGAUUUUAAAAUCCACCACAACUUAGCAGACAAAGGUUUGGACACAUCAAACCAGGAUGUAAAUUUCAAACCCCCUUUAUUUUUGGCAAACAAAUCUCCUUCCAUGACACCAAAUGCUUAUUUCUUCCUCCCUCUUUAAAAUUCUAUAAAACCCUUGCAAAAGUUAUAUGAAUAUCAUGUAUGAUAUAUUUAGGAGUAAUAAUAGCAGAUGACAUAUAUAGGGAUACUUUAUAAAACAUUAUUAAUCAAAACUGGUUUACUCCUAAAAGAAAAGAGCUUUCCUUUCCAGACCUGUAAUUUGUUUCGAACUUCCUUCAAAAGCUAUGAAAAAUGAUUCUUCCUUUUUAAACACGUCCAAUUGGUCUAAGCAUGUCAGAAUAAAUUUAUAUGUCAAAGGAGUUUUAUCCUUUGAAAAACCAUUAGGCUUAUCCAUUGUUUAAAUACUGGCAUGUAGCCCUAUAAUACACACAAAAAAGAAACGCACUUCUUUGUUUAUUUUCUAACCUGAUUGCUUCUCAUACACUCCUAGAGUUUCUAUAAUCAACUACAAGAUUUGCUUAUCAGAAAUAAAAACAAUAAUGGUUUCAUCAAUAUAAGUAAGACGAUUAAUACUUUUACUGUAUUUAGGCAUACCAAAACUUUUUAACUCUCUAUGAAGAAACAAAUUAUUAAGAGAUCUAGAAAACACUUUAGCAGCAAGGAUAAAAACUGCAGGACAGAGGAUCUCCUUGUUAAAACCUCUUAGAAGAGUGAAAAACCAUGUGCCUGUCAACUAAUGAGAAUAGUUUACCAGUUAUUAGCCACCAACCUAUAAACCUUACUAACAAGCAGGUUUUUAGAGCCCAUUUUUCUAAUACCUAAAUGGAACACCUCUAGUUUUUGGUCCGUGAUAAUUUCUAAAAUUUAUCUUCACUGCCUUGACUAUGAAUCAUUCUAAGAGUCAUAGGGUAUCUUGAUGGGUCACAUAACCCUAGUUGUAAGGUGUCUAGUGAAUGUUGCUUGAGCUUCUGUCCUAAGUAUGACUUGGAUACACGAGUCAUUGGACUCAAAUCGUAAUGAAAUUAGUAAGUGUGUAAUUGAGUUCUGCUUUGGGUAUGAGUGACACACUAAGAGCCAUAAGGACUUACUAUGAGUUAUUGGAUACAAAUUGUAGGAUGUCAAGUGUGUAACCCAAAUGGGUUCUGUGUUGACUACGACUGGACUCUAUAAAUUGUAAGGUCCCAUUAUGAGUCGUAGUAGUAGAGUCAUAGGGUCAACAGAUUUUGAGUGCCUUGGAUACUAUCUUGUCUACAACGUGAUGACAAGUCGUAAUGAGUCCCUACGAGUCGUAUAAUGACCCAUAGUCACUAACGACUAAAUUUCAGUUUUAAACUAGGGGAACUUUGGACAAUUCCUUUCUCACCCAAGUAGAACCCCACAUUCACAAGGCACUUAAGAGGCAUUAUUUAUCAUUCAUAACAUACUCAAAAACUUCUAAAGAUCUCUCAAGUCUCUCAAGCAACCAUACUUAGGGUUUCUAAGAAGUAGGUCAUCCAACGACUCAAAAGGUUGAAUUAUUUCAUGAAACUUGGUAUUUCAAGCAUGUUACUCUUUCCUAAUUGCUAAUUUCUUAAAAUUAUAUGAUUUAAUGGGUUUUUCAUGAGAUGUUGAUGUUGGUUUGAAACAAGGGUUGAGGGUUUUCAGUUCUUAUUGAUUGAACAAUGGUUCCCAUGGAUUACAUAUGAUUAUUCAUAAUUUAAUUUUAGUUUUUAAACUUGUGGGUGUAUGGGUAUGGUAAAUAAACAAGGGAAUUAUGAUUUCCCCAAACUCAAGUGAUUAUGACCUCAACCCUAUAUUGUGAAAUUUAUUUUGAAUAUGAAAAGUAUGCAUAUUGAACUACUCUUGAACUAUUGCAAAUGUGAAAAGUCAACGAAGUGUAAUAAUUUGAAAUUAAACCUUAAAUGGUUGUGUAAUUCCCCAAGCUAAUGUUUAAUUGAACCAACGGGGUUGUGAAGUCCCCCAAGUGAUGUAGGUGGUUUGGUAUAUUGAUGUUACCUAGCAAGUGUAGUUGGUAUGAUGAUACUAAUAAUGUUUUCCUUAAUGUGCAAUGUGGUUCAAUGAAUGAGAAUGCGUGAUAAAUGAUUUAAUUAGGCUUUAAUGAGAGUUGUGUAGCUGAGUAGUAAAAGUUGAGGUUUUAAGGGACCAAUACUGGAAACGACAAUUGUCGAUGUGGGGGUCUAUAUGACCGGGUUGUUUUAGUCUCCCUUAUUAUUAUCAUUUGAUCAGGAGGUUUGACUCUCUCAUAUUAUAUUACAUGAUUGGGUGUUUGUGUUACCUUAAUAUGUCGGGAGGUUCAAGUUCCCCAUUGUGCAUAUGCAUACCCUCUGUUUAUGUGGCCACAUGCACUAGGGCCCUACCAGUUGAGAGAGAGAUAUGCCUAUAAAGCCAAUGGGCACCUUCUUAUAUAAUGACGGUUGAGCGACAUAUAUUUAUGUCGGCAUUUGAUAUAUAUUUAUGUAUAUGCAUUUGAUUAUGUCCAUUGUUUUUGAACAAUUUUGAAUUGUUGAUAAAGACAUUACAUUAUCCUUACCCCUGAGUUACAUGCUAGUUUUCACCUCACUAACCAUCUUCGAAUGCUAUAUCACCACGUAAUAUAGGCACCAAAGAUACCUCUACUUUUCUUGCAUAGAGAUUGGUGGAUCGACUCGAUUUAUUAGUUCAUUGUGGUGAACUAGUGAGCUUCCAUUCUCUAAAAGACUUAGACAUUUCAUUAGUUCUUAUCAUAGAUUAGAAUUGAGAGUUUUCAUUAUCAUUAACAUUAUCAUUGUUAUUGUCCGAGUUAAGGACAUGUCCCGACCAAGAAUGGUUUUGGUUUUUGUGUUAGAAGGCUUUGUUGGAUUAUUAUGAACUUGGGUGAUGUUUGUCGGUUGUUUAGCCAGUUACUGGUUAUUGGUCAUAGACUUAUCUUUUAUUCUUUAAUAUUACCUUGUGUUAUGUUGUUAUAAGUUUUUGGAAUUCAUCCGACAUUGGGGAUGUUAUGUUCACUGGGUUAGGUGCAGGGGGUGGUCUCUAGUCUAUGUGGGACUUGGGAUGCCAGUCAUGGUCAGGCCCUUGUUUGGGUCGUGAUAAAAAUGGUAUCAGAGCCUAGGUUUGAUGUCAUUAGGAGUCCACAAAGUUGUGUUAAGUAGUCUUUUUUAUGGAUCUAUAGCACGCCAUACUUAUAGGGAAGAGGUUAUGAGGCAUUUAGAAAUAUUUUUCUUUCUUAUUGUUCUAUUUCGAGCUAUAGAGUCUAGUGUUUUGAAUCUCCUUUAAUUCCCAUCUGUUCGCUUUUUAGAUCAUGCCUCCCCGAAGAUUUGAUGUUUAGGGAAACUCUUCUGUCUUCUCAAGGAGAAUAUAGAUGGAGCCCCUUUUACUCUUGAGUUCAAACCCAGUCUAGGGUUACUCUUGAUGUGUCUAAUGUUGACUUUUGCCAUUCGAUUAAUUUGCUUACCCAGUUGGUGGCCUCCUAGACUGACCGGGUUACUUCUAUUGCUUCAUUCUCCAAGGACACUAGAGUUGGCAAAUUUAUGAGGUUGAGUCCUGCUAUUUUCACUGGUACUAGAGUUAAGAAAGAUACUCAAAAUUUCAUUAAUGAGAUGCAAAAGAUCUUUUGUGUGAUGCAUGAUAUGGAUGUGGAGGGUGUAGAGUUCGCAACUUAUUAGUUGAAGGAUGUAGCAUACCAAUGGUAUAAAGAGUAGGAGCCAUUAGGGGUGAUGAUGUUGAGUUCUCUUUGUGGUAUGACUUCUUUAGUGAUUUUCUUGAUUGCUUCUUUCCUCAAGAGUUGAGGGAGGUUAAGGAUGAGGAAUUCAUAAAUUUAAAGCAAGGCAGUAUAACAGUAAAAGAGUAUGACUUAAAGUUUCAUUUGUUGUCAUGUUAGGCCCCCGAGUUGGUAUCUAGUAUAAGGGUUAGAAUGAGGAAUUUUUCCUUUGGAUCAUCUCGUGAGUUAAUCUUGGAGAACAAGGCUUCCUUGUUGAACAAGGAUAUAGACAUCUCUAGAAUUAUGGUGUAUAUGCAAUAAGUAGAAGAGGAAAAGAAGAAGCAAACAGAGAUAAGUGAAAGGCAGAAUAAGAAUUUUUAAUAUUCAGAUUAGGGUAAAGGUCAGCAGUAGAGUGGUAGAGACGGUAGAAAGUGGUCUAAGAAUAAGUGGGGCAAUUUUUGUUCCUACUCUAUGCCUAGUGCUCCUUAUCCAAAGUCGUUGGGUGACCAUCAUUCUCAGUUUGAUAGUGGGUUUAGAGCACUAGGAGCCUAGCCUCAGGCUAGAGGGGCUCAGUUAGCUCCAUCGUAUCCUUUUUAUAGAUUUUGUGGUCAGGUGCACCAUGGUAUUUGUGAAAAAGGGGAACAAAUGUUUUAAAUGUGGACAAAUUAGUCAUAUGCAGAGGGAUUGUCCUUCUAGGGCUGCUUUUGGGGAAAAAAAAUUCUUGUUGCUUCCUCAUCAACUCCUACGCCAGAGAGUGCUACUUCUGUUUCUGUCUCAGGCGCUAGUAGGAACCAUCUGUAUGCUCUUGCCACCUGUCAGGCUUCUGAAGCAUCGCCUGAUAUUGUUACUGGUAUGAUCAAACUCUUCUCUCAUGAUAUAUAUUGUCUACUUUAUCUUGGGUCUACCCUCUCUUAUGUGACCCCUUAUGUGGCUAUCUAUUUUUGUUUUAACACUGAGUAUGUUUUGAACCCCUUUUCUGUGUCCACCCCAGUGGGUAACUCCAUUAUGGCUAGAAGGGUUUAUAGGGGUUGUGUGAUAUUGGUCUAUGUUAGAGAGACCUUAGUAGACCUAAUAGAGUUGGACAUGUUAGACUUUGAUAUGUUUUUGGGGAUGGAUUGGUUGCAUUCAUAUUAUGCGUCUCUUGAAUGUCGGACUCAAAGGGUCAGUUUCUAUUUCCCUAAUUAGUCGGGGAUUGAAUGGGAAUGUAAAUACCUAAUACCUAAGGGAAGGUUUAUUUUGUAUCUUAGAGCACGAAAAUUGGUUUCUAAAGGGUUCCUCAAUCACUUAGUACAUGUUAAGGAUUUUAGAACCGAAAGUCCUUUUUGCAGACUAUCCCUACAGCCUGUAAAUUUUUUGAGGUGUUUUCUAAUGAUCUUCUUAGUAUUCUCCCGAUAGGGAAAUUGAUUUUGGGAUUGAUCUUCUUCCGGAUACUCAUCCUGUUUCUAUUUCUCCUAAUAGAAUGGCUCUAGCUAUGUUGAAAGGACUCAAGGAGUAGUUGAAAGAUCUUUUGUAUAAGGGUUUUAUCCACCCUAGUAUGUCUUCGUAGGGUACUCUUGUUCUUUUCAUGCAUAAGAAGGAUAGGUCCCAUUGGUUGUGUUUACCACAAAUUGAAUAAGGUGACUGUGAGGAAUAAGUAUCCCUUUUCAAAGAUUGUUGAUCGGUUUAGUAAAUUUCAGGGUGCUAAGUUCUUUUCUAAGAUUAACCUUCGGCUAAGUUAUGAAUCAGAUUUUUUGUCAGUUCUUAGAUUUGUACAUGAUUUUCUUUAUUGAUAACAUUUUGGUAUAUUCUAAGAGCGAGGCGGAUCAUAACGAUCACCUUCGCAUAGUGUUGCAGAUCCUUAAGGAGCAACAUUUGUAUCUUAAAUUCUCUAAGUAUGAGCUUUGGUUAAAUAUUGUGACUUAUCUAGGUCUUGUUGUUUCUAGUAAAGGGAUCAUGGUAUAUCCACAAAAGGUUGUGGUGGUUAAGAAGAAUCCUAGACACACGACUCCAAUCGAUAUUCAGAGCUUCUUGGGUUUAUUUGAUUAUUAUAGAAGGUUUGUGGAAAGUUUUUCUUCUAUUGCUACCCCAUUGAUUAAGUUGACAUAGAAGAAGGUGAAAUUCUUAUAGUCUGAUACUUGUGAGGGUAGUUUUGAGAAGUUGAAGGACAAGUUAACUUCGACUCUGGUUUUGACUCUGCCUGAGGGCACUGAUGGUUUUAUGGUUUAUUAUGAUGUAUCUUGAGUGGGACUGGAAUGUGUAUUGAUACAAUAUGGCAAGGUAGUUGCUUAUUCAUCUCGAUAAUUAAAAGUCCAUGAGAGGAAUGACCCAACUCAUGAUUUGGAGUUGUUAGCUGUGAUGUUUGCAUUAAAGAUCUGGCGACAUUAUUUAUAUGGGUCUGUGUUGAUAUUUAUUCUAUUCAUAAGAUCCUAAAAUAUGUGUUCACUCAUAAGAAGCUAAAUCUCAGGCAAAUGAGAUGGCUUGAGUUGCUUAAGGACCAUGACAUAAGUCUUUACUAUCAUCCACGUAAAGGUAUCGUGGUUGCUAAUGCUCUUAGCAAGUUGUCCAUAGGAAUUUUAUAUCAUGUAGACGAAGAGAAACGGGAUUUGCUGAAGGAUAUUCACCGCUUGGCUAAUCUAAGAGUCCUCUUAGAUUUAGAGAAUAGUGGUGUGAUUAUUCAAGAGGCGACAAAGUCAUCUCUUGGUGUGGAGGUGAAGGAGAAACAAAUGUUGGAAUCUAUUUUGAUACAAAUUAAGAAUGAUGUAGGAAGGAAAAAGGUAAUGAUUUUUUAGAUCGGUGAUGAUUGUAUUUUGAGGUACCAAGGUUGAUUAUAUGUUCUCGAUUUGGAUGGGUUGCAAGGAAGAAUUUUUGCCAAAGAUCAUGAGUCUUAUUAUACUAUACAUCUGGUUCGAUGAAAAUGUAUCAUGACCUUAAAGAGAUUUAUUGGUGGAAUAACAUCAAUAGGGAUGUGUCUAAUUUUAUGGCUAAGUGCAUGGAGUGUCUGCAACUGAAGGUGGAGCACUUGUAGCUCGGUCGAUUAACUUAAGAAAUUGAGCUGCCGAUAUGGAAAUGGGAGAUAAUAAAUAUGGAUUAUGUUACCAGUCUUCUAUGGUCUUGCCAAUAAUUUGAUUUGAUUUGGGUCAUCGUGGAUAGGAUGACUAAGUCUGCUCACUUCUUGCCAGUGAGGACUAGUUUCUCUUCUGAGGAUUAUGCCAAGUUGUUCAUUGAGAUGAUCGUGAAGUUGUAUGGUACUCCAGUUUCCAUAUUAUCUGAUCAAGGUACACAGUUCUCAUCUCACUUUUGGAGGUCGUUUAAGAAAGAUUUGGGGAUUAACGUCACCCUUAGUACAGCUAUCCACCUGCAGAUGGAUGGGUAAGCAGAACAGAGAAUUUUGCCUUUGUAAGAUAUGCUUCGUUCUUGUGUAAUUGAUUUAGGUGGUACUUGGAUUGACCACUUGCCUCUUUUUGAAUUUUCCUAUAACAAUAGUUAUCACUCUAGUAUUGGUGAUCACCUAUCCAGACUUGAGGGUGAUCAAGCGGUCAAGGAUGAGUUUGAAAUUGAUGAUACAUUUUUGAAUGAGAAGGUCUUAGCUGCUGCACUUGAAAGAGUGCCUUGGUAUGCUGACUUUGUAAAUUAUAUGGUAAGUGAAUUCAAUCUCGGAGAAUCUAUCUUUUCAUCAAAAGAAGAAGUUCCUACAUGAUGUUACACACUACUUCUGGGAUGAUUUAUUUCAGAGGUGCGCAGAUAAUAUUAUCAGACGGUGUAUUCCAGAGGUGGACAUGUUGAAUAUCCUAGAAGCUUGUCAUCCUUCUUUGGUUGGGGGUCACUAUGAUGGUGACCGUAAUGCCAAACGUUUAUUAUUGGCCGACCUUAUUCAAAGAUGCCUAUCAGUUCAUGCGAAGAUAUGAUCAUUACAAGAGACAAGGGUCGCUCUCAAAGCACCAUGAGAUGCCUAUGACAAAAAUGAUGGAAUUUGAGUUCGAUGAAUGGGGCAUUGAUUUCAUGGGGCCCUUUGUGAGCUCUUAUGGGUUGAAAUACAUAUUGGUCGCCAUUGAUUAUGUGUCAAAAAGGGUUAAAGCUAUCGCUUUAGAUGAUAAUGAAGAAAAUAGAGUGGUUGCAUUCCUUAAAAAGAAUAUCUUUUUUUGCUUUGGGGUACCACUUACCAUCAUAAGUGAUGGUUGAUCACAUUUUUGUAACCAAGUGUUCCGGGUUGCCUUAACAAAAUACGGUGUUAAGCAACACGAGGUGGCAACUCUAUACCACCCAUAAACUAGUGGGCAAGUGGAGGUUUCAAACUGGGAGAUUAAGGAAAUAUUAGCCAAGAUAGUGAACACGAGCAGGAGUGAUUGGUCUCAAAAGCUCGAUGAUGCCUUGUGGGAAUAUCAAACAGCUUUCAAGACACCUAUUGGGAUGUUGACGUAUCAGCUGGUUUAUAGCAAUGCAUGUCACCUUCCGAUUAAGCUGGAACACAAGGCUUUGUGGUCACUCAAGCGGUUGAAUCUAGAUUGGAAGGAAGUAGCAGAAUUAAGAUUGGGGCACCUGAAUGAAAUGGAUGAAUUCUAUCUCGGUGCUUAUGAGAGAGUUGAUCUGUAUAAAGAAAGAAUGAGAAAGUACCACAAUCGAAGAAUCGAAAAGCUUGAUUUUCAAGUAGGAGAUUGGGUAUUACUAUUUAACUCCAAAAUCAAGCUCGUCUCAUGUAAACUCAAAUCUAAGUGGUAUGGCCCUUUCAAAGUCACCCAAAUCUAUUCAUCUGGAGUAAUCGAACUUGAAUAUAAUGAUGGAAGUGUCUUUAAAGUGAACGGGCAGCAUGUUAAGCAAUACAUUGGUCCUAUGAACUCGGUGAAAUAUUAAAGUAUAGUUUAUCUUAAUGAAGUCUGAGUAAUCAUGAAAACUGAGUCGUGCCACGAUAAUAAAUCAGGUGCUAAUGGGAGGCAACCCAUAAAGUAUUGUUGUAACCAUAGUUAGAGUUUGUUUGUUGUUUUGUGCAAUUUGAUGUUUUUGUGAAGUGUACAGAACUGAGAAUGCAGAAAGAAAGGAUUUUCUCUAGUUGAAAAUGGGUGAUGGGAAGGCUUAUGGACUGUCAAGGCCUCGACGAACCAUCAAUGGAACCGUCAAAUCCAUAGCUAAGAACUAGAGAUUCUGGAUAAGGCCUGAUGGUCAAAAUGAUGGAUCAUCAGGGUACCGACGGACCAUCAAGGCCACUGUCAACCUUAAACUCAAAUUUGAAGUUUAUGUAUUGGACUGACAGAAUGCUCGACGAAUCUUCGCAUUACUGACGGACUGUCGGAGCAACCGUCGUAGCAAGGUAGGCUUGAGAUGAUUCUAGUAAGUUAUGACGGUUAGCUCGACGGACUGUCGGAGCCCUGACGGACCAUGAGGUCAACCAUCAAACUAACCCUAGAUGACGGGUUGGGUCAGUUAAAUUUUGAGGCCUAUUUAAUUAUCUUUAUCUGACCCAAACAAUUUUAAAGAGAUAAAAAGAAGCGGUUUCAUACGUUUCCACCCUUUCAGAUCCUAAAAUUGUUUAACUUCUUCUAUAUUCAAAGUACCUAGUAUCAGUUAUCUCUACUUAGGACUCUCUCUCUUCUUUUUCUCUCCUAUUUAAACGACCCCAUCCCUCUUUUUCUCACAUCAGAUAACAAGUUAACAAUCUCUAAUAGAGGCUUUGAGUUUAUUUUAUUCCAAGUUUGCAAGUCAGAAUAGUCAAGUUUACUGCAACAUCAAGAUAUGAUCACAACCUUACUCUUCUUUUUGAAUCGAUAAACUUGUGUUAUGGAAGUUGUUGGUUGUUUGAAAGGAAUUCCAUCUUAUUUCUAUUUUGUGUCAAUCUAAUUCUAAGUCAAACCUUGCUAUGCAUUAUUCUGGGUGAAGUCUGAGUAACUCAUGAAUCAAAAGUGUCAAAAAUUUGUUCUUAAAUACUAAAUUAAGGCCAAAAUUAUACAAAUCAUUAGUGACAGCACACUAGGUGUUCGACAAAAUGUCAAGGUGAAGUUUGAGGGUAAAAAGUGUUGUUGACGGUCACCUUGACGGACCGUCUAGUAGACUGUUGCAAUGGCAUUGAAUCUAAAGUUUAAUGGUUAAGUAGCGAUGGAAAACUUGGCGGACUUUCAGUAACCUAAUGGACCGCCGAGUUGAUCGUCGCAAGGCUCUGAGAUGCAGGACAUACUGGUUAAGUCCUGACGGUAAGUUCAGUGGACCAUCACAGUCUCGACGGACCGUCAAAUUUUUCUUCAAGUGAAAAUUUCACUAUUUUUACUUGUUUUUUGAAUUACAAAUUGAUUUCGUGUUCUUUUCUUAGGCAAUAUGGUAUGAAAACUACCCAUAACCAGAGGUGGCCAUAGAGCACAAAUGGGAAGGGAGAAGCCAUCAGGAGUGAGGAGGCACUUGCCUUCAAUACUCGACAAUGAGACAGAGUACCUCAUACACUCUCCUAGUCUAAAGAGAAAAGUGAUAGCACCACUAGCAGCACAAUGAGGAAUGGGUCAACACAUCUAACCCUAACCUAGUCGAGGCAUCAGAGGCUGAGGAUGCCAAUGUGAUCAAGAGCAAAGACCCUCAAACAAGGGAAACAAUUAGGUGGACAGUUAAAGGUGCAAAGGAUAAAUACCUUGAUGGCUUAGAACCAAUUGAAACUAAGCCAAUUAAGAGGCCAAUCGCUGAAGAGUAUCAGAUAGUGACCUCCAAGUUGCAUGAGUAUCCAAAAAUUGAGUGGUAAUUCAAUGAAUACAAGCUAGCAUGGAUGAGCAAACCACUGAGGGCAUAUUAACCGACUAUUUUACGGGAUUUUUUCGUCAAUUAUUUGGCAGAGGCUGAGAAAGACUAUCCCAAGGGCUAAAAAAUUUUAGAUCUUCCCAACAGGAAAUCAGUUUUGGUUAGAGGGGUUACUAUUAACAAAUUGGCCUGUACAAUAAAUAGGAUACUAUUUGGCCCCUACUAUGAGGCACCGACUGUAUUUCCAAAGCUUGAGCAUCGCAUGACCAUGGCUUUCACUCAAAAACCUUAGUUGGCGAGGCUCCUUACUGAUGAAGAAAACCUUUCCUAGGAACUCAACCCGCGGGAGUGCAUUGCUAAGUCUUCUCUUAGCUUACGGGCUAUGUUUUGGUGGGCCAUUAUUUGAUUAAAGCUGAUGAUGAUAGGUGGAGAUGCUAAUUUGGAAAGUCAUAAAGCUGUGUUGGUGGCUAUUCUGAUUUCUGGGCUAAAGAUUAAUUUUGGCCAGAUUAUUGCAGAUGAGAUAUUUGUUCGAGCCUAUAAACUAACAAGCACUUUAUCAUUUCUAUGUUUGAUCACGGAAUUAUGCAGGCAGGCAAAUAUACCUUUGAUUUGAGAAGGUGAUAGUAAAGUUCGGGCUACUCAUAGGUAGGACAUUGAAAAAUUCAAGGAUGAAUCAAAGUUUGAAAUGCGAGUCAAUAAACCUCCUACUUAUCAGAUGUAGUCAGCGGCAGCCCCCAAUACUUUCGAGAUCCCUACAGGUAUGCCAUUGCCUAUCACCACUUAUGUGCCACCCAAUUAUGUGCCACCAAGUACUUCUGCAGGUUCUGCAUCGAUGUCACAAAUGGGUGGGACUUCAGACAUAAUAUCUGUCCCACCCUAAUCUUCGAAGUAUAAGUUAACAUAGGAAAAUUUUGCCAAGUUUGUUAAACUACAAAAAAAGUUCCAGAAGCAGCUAGACACAUGGGCUUCAUAAUUCAAGCCCUUUGUUGACCAUAUUAUAGCUGAGGCAAUCCAUCCCUUUAAAAAUAUUUAGACCAGGAUGGACCAUAUGGAGGAGCGUGUCAACAAAAGGCUCGAUGUGAUGUCUAUCCCAGAUAGAAGCUAAGUUCAUGGCAGAAUUCAAACAAGCACAGGCGGACAUAGCAAAGCUGAAGAGCCAACAACCACAUCAGCCCAUUUUUAACCCUGCUUUAGUUAUUAGUGAUAAAGAUUAGGGCAUUGUUGACUUGAUGGGGAUGCCUCUCAAGUACAAAGGCAAGAAUGUAGAUGAAAGUGAGGAUAGGAAAGCUAUCAAAAGAAGAAGGUGUAAAGAAAUGAUACUAGAAGAACAAGAAGCGAGAGAUAUGAGGAAGGCUGCAAAGAGAUCAAACAGAGAUAAAGAGAAUAGAUAGAAAAAGCUUAUAGAUAAAGUUGCAUGAGUUUCCACUAGUACUUCCCCAACUAGGGGGCUCAGUUUAAACCCGACUCAAGUUGAGAUAUCUUCGAUUCAAGAGGAUGAUAUUUUGAGUACCCCUACCAUCAUAGGGGUCAACAUUGCUGUAAGUGAGGCUCAAGAUGCCUCACCACAUUUGAUUGAUUCCUUAUCUGAAUAAGAGGCUUUAUAAGUAUUACCCUCAACUGUACUUUACUUAUAUGCAUUGAGGACAACAUAUUUUUUUGUAGGGGUGGGUAUGCUUGUACCAUGGGGUUUUUUUUGCUUGUGUUAUUUUUCUCCCAUAUGCUAUCUAGUAGAACCGACAUGUCUAGGUUGCAUUUUUUUUCUCUAAGGAAUUGUGAUGUAAAUAUCCGUUGUUGAUGUUAUUUAUGAAAGUUUCUUUUCUUUUAGCAUCUUUUUGUAUAAAUGGAUGACGUAUGACUGUGGCAUAAGACUAUGAACAUGUUUGUAUGACUAUUUUCUCUUGUCAGUCAGCAUAUGUUGAACAACCAUUGGUGAAUUUUGUAAUUGGCAUUAGGAUGUAAAGUUUGCAUGACUAUGUGUUGUAAAUCCCAAGAGUUGGUAAAAUAAGUGUAACUCAUGUGUCUAUGUGUGCAAGCAUUUGUUUUAGCUCUUGCAUAGUUAUAUACCAAGAACAUGCUUAGAUUAUUGAUGUUGUUUUGUGGUUGAUUCAAUAAGAGAUGAUAGAAGGUCUCCUUGUACUUUCAGUCCACUUAGCCAAAAUAACUAACCCACCAAAAAGUUUUUUCCAUUUUUGAACCAUUUUUGAGCUUAUGUUAGUUUUUCUUCAUUCCCAAUAACUCUAAUUAACUCUCUUUAAGUAGUUGACAUCCAACUUUAGCCCUGGUCCAAGAUUGAACAAUGUACAUCUUAACUUAGGAAAAACACCUAAGUUGUGGAUGGCUACUGUCAGGACAUUAGCAGUUUAACAAAAGAGUGGUUUAGAGCUAAAAUAAAGUAUUCGGCCCUGAUCUAUUUAAGAUAUUAUGCACCUCAACUGACUGCAUCAACAUAAGUUGAAGGUGGCUGAUGCUUAUAAAAAAAGGAGGGUUAUGGCAAAGUGUGAAUGAAUAAUAGAGAUUGUAAGUGAGCUGGAAAAACAGUAGCCUUGGUGAGUAGAAUUCAAGGGCAAAGAGAGUUAAGUCUGAAUGUUGAGUCACUUUUCCCAAAAAUAUAUCCUCACCUAGCCUUGGAACCUCAUUACAAGCCUGAAAAAGUCCUAUUUAAUCUUUGCGAAUCAACCAUAAGGGAGCAUUAGAUGAUAAGGGCAAGCCUAUGGGUGUAUGUUCUAUGUUUGUAAUUUCUUUGAUGAGUGCGAGAGUCUUGAUUUUCAUCCACAAGAUAUAAUGAGUGGUGGAAUUUAUUGAUUAUGAAGAAAACUUGAGUUACACCUAGUUUUGCUGAUCUCUAUCGGAUAUUACAUCCAUAUUUGUGUAUGUGCUAAAUCAUAAACAAUGUUGGUUGUAGAUACUGAAAUAGUAAGUGAAUGUUUGUGUGAAAUCUAGUUCAGUAGUCAAUUUCCUAUCAUUGUAUUAUUCAUCAAUGCAGUUUGGUGCUGAGUUGCUUGAGGACAAGUAAUUAUCUUAAGUUGAGGGUGUUGAUGUUUUGGAUUUUGACGAAACAUUUUACAUCUUUUUUCAAUAGAUAAUUAUAUGUUUUCAAGCAACUAAUGUUGUAUUUAAUAUUGGAUUUUAGUGUUUUUAGGUUAAGGAGUUAGUUGAACAAGAAACCUAGAAAAGUAGCAGAAAAAGGCCACUGAUGGUUGAACUGGUGGACCGUUAGCCAUGUGAUGAACCGUUAGGGUGACCUUCAGAAAUAAAUAGAAAGGAACAAGUAAGUGACUCAUGUGAUGUUCCAAGUGACGGACUGUCAGAUCAUUGACAGACCGCCAACUUGGCCGUCAGGCUGAAGUAG